GUCGGAUUAGCUAGUUGGUGGGGUAAUGGCUCACCAAGGCGACGAUCCGUAACUGGUCUGAGAGGAUGAUCAGUCACACUGGAACUGAGACACGGUCCAGACUCCUACGGGAGGCAGCAGUGGGGAAUAUUGGACAAUGGGCGAAAGCCUGAUCCAGCCAUGCCGCGUGUGUGAAGAAGGUCUUCGGAUUGUAAAGCACUUUAAGUUGGGAGGAAGGGCAUUAACCUAAUACGUUAGUGUUUUGACGUUACCGACAGAAUAAGCACCGGCUAACUCUGUGCCAGCAGCCGCGGUAAUACAGAGGGUGCAAGCGUUAAUCGGAAUUACUGGGCGUAAAGCGCGCGUAGGUGGUUCGUUAAGUUGGAUGUGAAAUCCCCGGGCUCAACCUGG
rnacentral:rRNA from 1 species